rnacentral:pre_miRNA from 1 species
AGGAGAUGAGCUAGUCAAAGUUGUAUAGUGUGGCGUCCCACACUAUACAACUUUGACUAGCUCAUCUCAU